UAAGGAAUAUUGGACAAUGGAGGAAACUCUGAUCCAGCCAUGCCGCGUGAGUGAUGAAGGCCUUCGGGUUGUAAAGCUCUUUUAGAUGUGAAAAUGAUGAUGGUAGCAUCAGAAAAAGCUCCGGCUAACUUCGUGCCAGCAGCCGCGGUAAUACGAAGGGAGCGAGCGUUGUUCGGAAUCACUGGGCGUAAAGCGUGCGUAGGCGGUUUUAUAAGUCAGAAGUGAAAGCCUGAGGCUUAACCUCAGAAUUGCUUUUGAGACUGUAGAACUAGAAUCCUGGAGAGGUUAGUGGAAUUCCGAGUGUAGAGGUGAAAUUCGCAGAUAUUCGGAGGAACACCAGUGGCGAAGGCGACUAACUGGACAGGCAUUGACGCUGAGGCACGAAAGCGUGGGGAUCAAACAG
rnacentral:rRNA from 1 species